rnacentral:rRNA from 1 species
GACCCCGCACAAGCGGCGGAGCAUGCGGCUUAAUUCGAUGAUACGCGAGGAACCUUACCAGGGCUUAAAUGCAGAACGACCGGGGUGGAAACACCCCUUUCUUCGGACGGUCUGCAAGGUGCUGCAUGGUUGUCGUCAGCUCGUGCUGUGAAGUGUCGGGUUAAGUCCCAUAACGAGCGCAACCCCUAUUUCUAGUUGCCAGCGGUUCGGCCGGGGACUCUAGAGAAACUGCCAGCGUAAGCUGUGAGGAAGGUGGGGAUGACGUCAAAUCAUCACGGCCCUUACGUCCUGGGCCACACACGUGCUACAAUGGUGGGGACAACGAGUCGCUAACCCGCGAGGGUAAGCUAAUCUUCAAACCCCAUCUCAGUUCGGAUCGGAGUCUGCAACUCGACUCCGUGAAGUUGGAAUCGCUAGUAA